GGGUUGUGAGGUUAAGCGACUAAGCGUACACGGUGGAUGCCCUGGCAGUCAGAGGCGAUGAAGGACGUGCUAAUCUGCGAUAAGCGUCGGUAAGGUGAUAUGAACCGUUAUAACCGGCGAUUUCCGAAUGGGGAAACCCAGUGUGUUUCGACACACUAUCAUUAACUGAAUCCAUAGGUUAAUGAGGCGAACCGGGGGAACUGAAACAUCUAAGUACCCCGAGGAAAAGAAAUCAACCGAGAUUCCCCCAGUAGCGGCGAGCGAACGGGGAGCAGCCCAGAGCCUGAAUCAGUGUGUGUGUUAGUGGAAGCGUCUGGAAAGGCGCGCGAUACAGGGUGACAGCCCCGUACACAAAAAUGCACAUGCUGUGAGCUCGAUGAGUAGGGCGGGACACGUGGUAUCCUGUCUGAAUAUGGGGGGACCAUCCUCCAAGGCUAAAUACUCCUGACUGACCGAUAGUGAACCAGUACCGUGAGGGAAAGGCGAAAAGAACCCCGGCGAGGGGAGUGAAAAAGAACCUGAAACCGUGUACGUACAAGCAGUGGGAGCACGCUUAGGCGUGUGACUGCGUACCUUUUGUAUAAUGGGUCAGCGACUUAUAUUCUGUAGCAAGGUUAACCGAAUAGGGGAGCCGAAGGGAAACCGAGUCUUAACUGGGCGUUAAGUUGCAGGGUAUAGACCCGAAACCCGGUGAUCUAGCCAUGGGCAGGUUGAAGGUUGGGUAACACUAACUGGAGGACCGAACCGACUAAUGUUGAAAAAUUAGCGGAUGACUUGUGGCUGGGGGUGAAAGGCCAAUCAAACCGGGAGAUAGCUGGUUCUCCCCGAAAGCUAUUUAGGUAGCGCCUCGUGAAUUCAUCUCCGGGGGUAGAGCACUGUUUCGGCAAGGGGGUCAUCCCGACUUACCAACCCGAUGCAAACUGCGAAUACCGGAGAAUGUUAUCACGGGAGACACACGGCGGGUGCUAACGUCCGUCGUGAAGAGGGAAACAACCCAGACCGCCAGCUAAGGUCCCAAAGUCAUGGUUAAGUGGGAAACGAUGUGGGAAGGCCCAGACAGCCAGGAUGUUGGCUUAGAAGCAGCCAUCAUUUAAAGAAAGCGUAAUAGCUCACUGGUCGAGUCGGCCUGCGCGGAAGAUGUAACGGGGCUAAACCAUGCACCGAAGCUGCGGCAGCGACGCUUAUGCGUUGUUGGGUAGGGGAGCGUUCUGUAAGCCUGUGAAGGUGUGCUGUGAGGCAUGCUGGAGGUAUCAGAAGUGCGAAUGCUGACAUAAGUAACGAUAAAGCGGGUGAAAAGCCCGCUCGCCGGAAGACCAAGGGUUCCUGUCCAACGUUAAUCGGGGCAGGGUGAGUCGACCCCUAAGGCGAGGCCGAAAGGCGUAGUCGAUGGGAAACAGGUUAAUAUUCCUGUACUUGGUGUUACUGCGAAGGGGGGACGGAGAAGGCUAUGUUGGCCGGGCGACGGUUGUCCCGGUUUAAGCGUGUAGGCUGGUUUUCCAGGCAAAUCCGGAAAAUCAAGGCUGAGGCGUGAUGACGAGGCACUACGGUGCUGAAGCAACAAAUGCCCUGCUUCCAGGAAAAGCCUCUAAGCAUCAGGUAACAUCAAAUCGUACCCCAAACCGACACAGGUGGUCAGGUAGAGAAUACCAAGGCGCUUGAGAGAACUCGGGUGAAGGAACUAGGCAAAAUGGUGCCGUAACUUCGGGAGAAGGCACGCUGAUAUGUAGGUGAAGCGACUUGCUCGUGGAGCUGAAAUCAGUCGAAGAUACCAGCUGGCUGCAACUGUUUAUUAAAAACACAGCACUGUGCAAACACGAAAGUGGACGUAUACGGUGUGACGCCUGCCCGGUGCCGGAAGGUUAAUUGAUGGGGUCAGCGCAAGCGAAGCUCUUGAUCGAAGCCCCGGUAAACGGCGGCCGUAACUAUAACGGUCCUAAGGUAGCGAAAUUCCUUGUCGGGUAAGUUCCGACCUGCACGAAUGGCGUAAUGAUGGCCAGGCUGUCUCCACCCGAGACUCAGUGAAAUUGAACUCGCUGUGAAGAUGCAGUGUACCCGCGGCAAGACGGAAAGACCCCGUGAACCUUUACUAUAGCUUGACACUGAACAUUGAGCCUUGAUGUGUAGGAUAGGUGGGAGGCUUUGAAGUGUGGACGCCAGUCUGCAUGGAGCCGACCUUGAAAUACCACCCUUUAAUGUUUGAUGUUCUAACGUUGACCCGUAAUCCGGGUUGCGGACAGUGUCUGGUGGGUAGUUUGACUGGGGCGGUCUCCUCCUAAAGAGUAACGGAGGAGCACGAAGGUUGGCUAAUCCUGGUCGGACAUCAGGAGGUUAGUGCAAUGGCAUAAGCCAGCUUGACUGCGAGCGUGACGGCGCGAGCAGGUGCGAAAGCAGGUCAUAGUGAUCCGGUGGUUCUGAAUGGAAGGGCCAUCGCUCAACGGAUAAAAGGUACUCCGGGGAUAACAGGCUGAUACCGCCCAAGAGUUCAUAUCGACGGCGGUGUUUGGCACCUCGAUGUCGGCUCAUCACAUCCUGGGGCUGAAGUAGGUCCCAAGGGUAUGGCUGUUCGCCAUUUAAAGUGGUACGCGAGCUGGGUUUAGAACGUCGUGAGACAGUUCGGUCCCUAUCUGCCGUGGGCGCUGGAGAACUGAGGGGGGCUGCUCCUAGUACGAGAGGACCGGAGUGGACGCAUCACUGGUGUUCGGGUUGUCAUGCCAAUGGCACUGCCCGGUAGCUAAAUGCGGAAGAGAUAAGUGCUGAAAGCAUCUAAGCACGAAACUUGCCCCGAGAUGAGUUCUCCCUGACUCCUUGAGAGUCCUGAAGGAACGUUGAAGACGACGACGUUGAUAGGCCGGGUGUGUAAGCGCAGCGAUGCGUUGAGCUAACCGGUACUAAUGAACCGUGAGGCUUAACCUUACAACGCCGAAGCUGUU
rnacentral:rRNA from 1 species